UAGACAGAUUAUUGUAUUCGACUGUAUUCACGGUGUGAAACAGGGGAUUACACUGUUUUUAAACGGAAAGUGAAUCAAUUAACAUAAUAGACUCCU
rfam:Nicotiana attenuata strain TT chromosome 1, whole genome shotgun sequence.